rnacentral:rRNA from 1 species
AUAAUGGGUCAGCGACUUAUAUUCUGUAGCAAGGUUAACCGUAUAGGGGAGCCGUAGGGAAACCGAGUCUUAACUGGGCGAAUGAGUUGCAGGGUAUAGACCCGAAACCCGGUGAUCUAGCCAUGGGCAGGUUGAAGGUUGGGUAACACUAACUGGAGGACCGAACCGACUAAUGUUGAAAAAUUAGCGGAUGACUUGUGGCUGGGGGUGAAAGGCCAAUCAAACCGGGAGAUAGCUGGUUCUCCCCGAAAGCUAUUUAGGUAGCGCCUCGUGAACUCAUCUUCGGGGGUAGAGCACUGUUUCGACUAGGGGGUCAUCCCGACUUACCAACUCGAUGCAAACUACGAAUACCGAAGAAUGUUAUCACGGGAGACACACGGCGGGUGCUAACGUUCGUCGUGAAGAGGGAAACAACCCAGACCGCCAGCUAAGGUCCCAAAGUCAUAGUUAAGUGGGAAACGAAGUGGGAAGGCUCAGACAGCCAGGAUGUUGGCUUAGAAGCAGCCAUCAUUUAAAGAAAGCGUAAUAGCUCACUGGUCGAGUCGGCCUGCGCGGAAGAUGUAACGGGGCUAAACUAUGCACCGAAGCUGCGGCAGCGAUAUGUAAAUAUUGUUGGGUAGGGGAGCGUUCUGUAAGCCUGUGAAGGUGUACUGUGAGGUAUGCUGGAGGUAUCAGAAGUGCGAAUGCUGACAUAAGUAACGAUAAUGCGGGUGAAAAACCCGCACGCCGGAAGACCAAGGGUUCCUGUCCAACGUUAAUCGGGGCAGGGUGAGUCGACCCCUAAGGCGAGGCAGAAAUGCGUAGUCGAUGGGAAACGGGUUAAUAUUCCCGUACUGGUGAUAAUUGCGAUGGGGGGACGGAGAAGGCUAGGCUAUCCGGGCGACGGUUGUCCCGGUUUAAGAAUGUAGGCAGGUGAA